UUUCCCACAAACCACUUUUAUUUUUCCCCAAACAGACGUCUGAACCUUCCUGGCUCGGGCUCAGAAAGUUAACAUAAUAUAUAUAUAAAAACAAUGAACUGACACAAUCGUAGUGGAUUGUUAAAAAUAAUCAUUAUCUUGCUUUGGCACUAUGUCAACACAAAUGUUCAGAAAAAAGUUGUUUCAGUGAUCACAACCACCUCUAUACCUGUCUAUAGGAGGUACCUGAGGGGAACAGCUCAGUACUAGCAGAGGAAGGAGGAUCUAUUCUAAACAUGAUAUCAAUAAUUACUUUACAAGGUCAAGACUUUGGAAAAAGACUGCAGACUGAAAACUCAUCUCUCGUUUCUGUAAUAUAGCAAUUAAAGAAGCUCCCUUAUUGAACGCAUUUCAUGUACUUGCAUGAUUCCUGCUUUUUGGGUUUCAUCUUCCAUUGUGGAAUGCAAUUACUGUAAGUUGCUUUGCACUUAAGUGUCAGCUAAAUAGAUGUAAUGUAAAAGUACAGAAUUUAAUUAAUCGGUCUAUAUUUUGAAUUUCUGUGGAAGUGGCCGAUAACACUAACCUGACUCUCGCCCGAUGAAUUCUUUCCACCUAGCUCCACUCAUCCAUGUAUGAUCAAUCCAUUGGAGAGGUGUUUUAGAAGGAUGGGCCAUAACAAAAAUCCUUGAUUGGAUAAACCACUUGUCCGCCGUCUUUAUUGACGUGCUACUUCAACCAUUCACAUCGAAACCAACCCGUGACGCUGAUGAGAGCGUUCUCUGAUGUUCUUUUAACGAAAGAAUAUUCGCUAGAUUGAACAACACGGAUGAAAUAGCAUCAUCAAUGUUGACGCUUGCCUCCUCGAUGCGAGCCGCCAUUGUUGUCUGAAUCAAAACAGUCCCUUGUCCGCUACGUCACAUAUAUACAAAUCCCGCCCGACAGUCCUGAUUGGCUCGACCAUUAAAUCUGGUCCCCAAAUCUGGGAGCGAUCCCAGAUGGAUGAGUGGUGCUAGUUGGAACGAAAUUCCUCUGUGGUCGCGAGUCAGGUUACAUUAACA
ensembl:lncRNA